rnacentral:rRNA from 1 species
UAGGGAAUCUUCGGCAAUGGACGGAAGUCUGACCGAGCAACGCCGCGUGAGUGAAGAAGGUUUUCGGAUCGUAAAGCUCUGUUGUAAGAGAAGAACGAGUGUGAGAGUGGAAAGUUCACACUGUGACGGUAUCUUACCAGAAAGGGACGGCUAACUACGUGCCAGCAGCCGCGGUAAUACGUAGGUCCCGAGCGUUGUCCGGAUUUAUUGGGCGUAAAGCGAGCGCAGGCGGUUAGAUAAGUCUGAAGUUAAAGGCUGUGGCUUAACCAUAGUACGCUUUGGAAACUGUUUAACUUGAGUGCAAGAGGGGAGAGUGGAAUUCCAUGUGUAGCGGUGAAAUGCGUAGAUAUAUGGAGGAACACCGGUGGCGAAAGCGGCUCUCUGGCUUGUAACUGACGCUGAGGCUCGAAAGCGUGGGGAGCAAACAGGAUUAGAUACCCUGGUAGUCCACGCCGUAACGAUGAGUGCUAGGUGUUAGACCCUUUCCGGGGUUUAGUGUCGCAGCUAACGCAUUAAGCACUCCGCCUGGGGAGUACGACCGCAAGGUUG